rnacentral:rRNA from 1 species
GACGAACGCUGGCGGCGUGCUUAACACAUGCCAGUCGAACGGAAAGGCCCUGCUUUUGUGGGGUGCUCGAGUGGCGAACGGGUGAGUAACACGUGAGUAACCUGCCCUUGACUUUGGGAUAACUUCAGGAAACUGGGGCUAAUACCGGAUAGGAGCUCCUGCUGCAUGGUGGGGGUUGGAAAGUUUCGGCGGUUGGGGAUGGACUCGCGGCUUAUCAGCUUGUUGGUGGGGUAGUGGCUUACCAAGGCUUUGAGGGGUAGCCGGCCUGAGAGGGUGACCGGCCACGUUGGGCUGGAGAUGCGACACAGACUCCAAUGGUACGCAGCAGUGGAGAAUAUUGCACAAUAGGCGGAAGCCUGGUGUAGCAACGCCGCGUGGGGGAUGACGGCCUUCGCGUUGUAAACCGCUUUCGCCUUUGACGAAACGUGAGUGACGGUAACGGGUAAAGAAGCACCGGCUAACUACGUG